CUUUAAAUAAUUCGUAUUAAUCUCUCUGAUCGAACGUUAAGUUUGCGACAACUUCGUAUUUUAAUAUACAUAUCUGACAGGUAUCUUACAUCACAAUGUUUUAUAACUUUCCAAAUGCAGAAGACGCCUUAUUAAGAUCCUUAUAAUUCUUUUUCUUCCAGAGAACAAAAAGUUUUUAUGCAGAAUUUUACGAUUCUGACGACAGAGUAAACUUCAUACCAUUAUCACACAAGCUGAUCUUCUAAAAGACUAACUGUGUUGUAAAGAUUUUUAAUUUUUAUGUUCAAAAAAAUUCGGUUAUGUGUGUAAUGUUCCUUGGAGCUAAUAGAAAUAACUCUAAGAGAUUUGCUUCUUUUUGGUUUAUGGCUCAAACGGCUAGUGGAUGGAUUUGUAACCUUGGGAAGCGGGGAUUCCACUGUCCACACCUAUAAUAUCUUGGCCAUGCCUAAAUAAGCCUGUUUCUAUGUGAUAAAUGGACUUAUCCAUAGGAUAACAUAAAAACACUGGUAUUGCAUUAAUUGCAUAACGAACAACUCGUGGGACCCGCAUAUUAAGAAAUCCUGAUCUGUUAGAAAUUUAAUUGUACAAAAA
rnacentral:misc_RNA from 1 species